UUCAUCUUCUCUUUUGUCCUUUUUUAAAUCUCCUUUUUCGGUGCACUGAGAAGACGACUGCAAGUCCUUUUUACUCCAAAUUCUCUUUGCACUUCCCAAAGACUAGAUGAAUCCAGAGCUCUUGAGGAAGCUUGAACUGGCAUCGGCCUGAAAAAAGUAGGUCAAAGCUUCAUCCGCUGAUCCUUCAAUCCCAGUAGGUGGCGAUGUCAAGGUUUCAACCUCCGAAUCAACUACCGUGGCCACAGGAGAUGAGAAUCUCCCUUUAAUCGCCGAGCCCAU
rnacentral:lncRNA from 1 species